rnacentral:rRNA from 1 species
UUGAACGCUGGCGGCAGGCCUAACACAUGCAAGUCGAACGGUAACAGGAAGCAGCUUGCUGCUUCGCUGACGAGUGGCGAACGGGUGAGUAAUGUCUGGGAAGCUGCCUGAUGGAGGGGGAUAACUACUGGAAACGGUAGCUAAUACCGCAUAAUGUCGCAAGACCAAAGAGGGGGACCUUCGGGCCUCUUGCCAUCGGAUGUGCCCAGAUGGGAUUAGCUUGUUGGUGGGGUAACGGCUCACCAAGGCGACGAUCCCUAGCUGGUCUGAGAGGAUGACCAGCCACACUGGAACUGAGACACGGUCCAGACUCCUACGGGAGGCAGCAGUGGGGAAUAUUGCACAAUGGGCGCAAGCCUGAUGCAGCCAUGCCGCGUGUAUGAAGAAGGCCUUCGGGUUGUAAAGUACUUUCAGCGGGGAGGAAGGGAGUAAAGUUAAUACCUUUGCUCAUUGACGUUACCCGCAGAAGAAGCACCGGCUAACUCCGUG